rnacentral:lncRNA from 1 species
UUCAACAGUAAUGGCUGGAUUGCAUUGCCCAUGCAAAGAAGCAAGGAUAGCUCCUAUGUCUCUGGUUAGUAAAGCAAGUUGCAGAGUGAUGUAAUGCACUGGGGAAAGAGAACGUCAGAGAAGGAUCCAAGUGGGAUAGUGAUGGACAACGAACUCUGUAUAACUCCUCAUGGUGAGAGCAUGAAAGAAGAUCAUAAUUUUGCAAGUUACUGUGAAUGAGAUCAUGGAUACUGGAAGUCGUGUUUACCCUGAAUCAGUUUCACCCAAGACUUAAAUCCUCUUUAAAGCCAAUGAAUCCACUCAAGGACAGAUACUAUUAUUCUGUUCGAUAUUAUUAUAUGAAAUAGAUUUCUA